rnacentral:rRNA from 1 species
AUGGCGUUUCCAAGGAGCCCUGAUUCCAGUAUGAGCAGCUGUGCUUCUACUUCGACGCUGAGCAGCUGCUCCAGCUCCUACAUCUCCAUAGGCAGCAGCAACCCAAGCUCAUUUACGGCCACGGCAAUAGUCCCCACCGAGACAGGGCUAGUAGCUCCAGCCGGACAUCAGGAUCAGGAUCAGGAUCCUCCGGAAUCAGCAGCGAAGUUCCCUAAGCAAGAAAUCAAUGGCUGGGAGCAUCCAUACCUCUGUUCACCAUCCAAGCAACUCAAGAACGUAAGUACUUCCAUCAAGGAGAUCAGUCGCUGGGCAAGAUCUUCGCCGGGAGUAAAGGUGAACUCAAAUAUCCGGCUCUUGGAGUCCGUACUUUCUUUGAUACAAGUGGUAACUUCGACAGCACCACACCCAGAUCACAUCGUCGACAUGAUACGGGUCCAUGAUGCGCUUGCUAACCUGUUGCUUGUCCUGCCCAAGAACAUCUUCCCUUUCCUGGUGCAAAAUUUCGCUCAGAUUGUAGAUGAAUUAAGCCCAAAGGGAGGUGCAUCUUUAUCAGCAAGGUUUGAGAAGACACUGCAUGAUUUGCGAAGAAGCAUAAGGAGUGGUCUUCAGGAUCAGGAUGGCAUGGUUGAAAUGGAGACGCUGCAAGAUGCUGUUGCUACCUUGAUCUGUCACUUGGAAAUCAUGCUUGAGAAAGAAUCUCAUCGAUAUAAAGAUGCAGGGUUGAAACAAAUGUUCAUGGUGAAUAACGUGAGCUUUGUGUUGCAUCAAGUAGAAGGCUCAGAGAUAAAGUAUCUUCUAGGAGAGGAUUGGGUUCUGAAGCACCGAGACCAACUGAAGGACCACAUCUCACGGUUCAUCAACAUUUCUUGGGAAUCCGUCAUGUAUUGCUUCCAUGCAAAGACCAACAAAAUCCAAAUCUUUUCUAGCCUACCAACACUGCAGAUAUUUAACAUGGAAUUUGAUAAAACUUACUGGACUCAGAAGACAUGGAAAGUUGAAAAUCCUCUGCUCCGGUCCAAUAUGCGUAAAUCAGUAUCAGAGAAUCUUGUCCAGGCUUACAGUACAUACCUUGAGAAUCUCAAAAACAAAGCUCCAAAGCUUAUGAAGUACACCCCUGAAGAUCUUGAAGAACUGUUGUCAGAUCUGUUUGAAGGAUAA